rnacentral:lncRNA from 1 species
CCUGGGUGCCCUGUACGAGCGCCAGUCCUCAGAGUACGAGGCCCUCAUCUGCCAGCACAGCUGUCUGAAGACGUUGCACAGGAACCUGGAGCUGGAACACAAGGAGCUUGGAGAGAGGCACGGAGACUUACAGAAGCGUAAGGCAGAACUGGAGGAGCUGGAAAAAGCCCUGAGCACUGAGCGGGAGGUUCUGCAGCAGGAACAGAGGACCAGUGCCAUCGCCACGAGCGAGAACCAGAGGCUGCGAGGAGAGCUGGACAGGAUCAGUUUCCUGCACCACCAGCUGAAGGGGGAAUAUGAGGAGCUGCACGCCCACACCAAGGAGUUGAAAACCUCGCUGAACAACUCUCGGCUGGAGCUGAACCGCUGGCAGGCACGCUUUGACGAGCUGAAAGAGCAGCACCAGAACAUGGACAU